rnacentral:rRNA from 1 species
GUGGGGAAUAUUGGACAAUGGGCGAAAGCCUGAUCCAGCCAUGCCGCGUGUGUGAAGAAGGUCUUCGGAUUGUAAAGCACUUUAAGUUGGGAGGAAGGGCAGUAAGUUAAUACCUUGCUGUUUUGACGUUACCGACAGAAUAAGCACCGGCUAACUUCGUGCCAGCAGCCGCGGUAAUACGAAGGGUGCAAGCGUUAAUCGGAAUUACUGGGCGUAAAGGGCGCGUAGGUGGUUUUGUAAGUUGGAGGUGAAAUCCCCGGGCUCAAACUGGGAACUGCCUCCAAAACUGCAUGACUAGAGUACGGUAGAGGGUAGUGGAAUUUCCUGUGUAGCGGUGAAAUGCGUAGAUAUAGGAAGGAACACCAGUGGCGAAGGCGACUACCUGGACUGAUACUGACACUGAGGUGCGAAAGCGUGGGGAGCAAACAGGAUUAGAAACCCCAGUAGUCC